rnacentral:rRNA from 1 species
UACAGAGGGGGCUAGCGUUGUUCGGAAUUACUGGGCGUAAAGGGCGCGUAGGUGGCCUGUUAAGUCGAACGUGAAAUCCCCGGGCUCAACCCGGGAACUGCGUCCGAGACUGGCAGGCUCGAAUCCGGAAGAGGAGAGUGGAAUUCCUGGUGUAGCGGUGAAAUGCGCAGAUAUCAGGAAGAACACCGAUGGCGAAAGCAGCUCUCUGGGACGGUACUGACGCUGAGGCGCGAAAGCGUGGGGAGCGAACAGG